rnacentral:rRNA from 1 species
AACGAACGCUGGCGGCAGGCUUAACACAUGCAAGUCGAACGCCCCGCAAGGGGAGUGGCAGACGGGUGAGUCACACGUGGGAACCUUCCUAGAGGUACGGAACAACGCAGGGAAACUUGCGCUAAUACCGUAUACGCUCGAGAGAGGAAAGCUUUAUCGCCUUUAGACGGGCCCGCGUCGGAUUAGCUAGUUGGUGGGGUAACGGCCUACCAAGGCGACGAUCCGUAGCUGAUCUGAGAGGAUGAUCAGUCACACUGGGACUGAGACACGGCCCAGACUCCUACGGGAGGCAGCAGUGGGGAAUUUUGGACAAUGGGCGCAAGCCUGAUCCAGCCAUGCAGCGUGAGUGAAGAAGGCCUUCGGGUUGUAAAGCUCUUUUGUCAGGGACGAUAAUGACGGUACCUGAAGAAUAAGCCCCGGCAAACUUCGUGCCAGCCGCCGCGGUAA